rnacentral:rRNA from 1 species
UGAGAGGAUGACCAGUCACACUGGGACUGAGACACGGCCCAGACUCCUACGGGAGGCAGCAGUGGGGAAUUUUCCGCAAUGGGCGCAAGCCUGACGGAGCAAUACCGCGUGCGGGAGGAAGCUUUUUGGAGUGUAAACCGCUUUUCUCAGGGAAGAUGAUGACGGUACCUGAGGAAUCAGCAUCGGCUAACUUCGUGCCAGCAGCCGCGGUAAUACGAGGGAUGCAAGCGUUAUCCGGAAUUAUUGGGCGUAAAGCGUUCGUAGGUGGCUAAGUUAGUCUGUCGUUAAAGCGUGGAGCUUAACUCCAUAUCGGCGAUGGAAACUGCUUGGCUAGAGUAUGGUAGGGGUAAGAGGAAUUCCCAGUGUAGCGGUGAAAUGCGUAGAUAUUGGGAAGAACACCAGCGGCGAAAGCGUCUUACUGGGCCAUUACUGACACUGAGGGACGAAAGCUAGGGGAGCGAAAGGGAUUAGAUACCCCUGUAGUCCUAGCCGUAAACGAUGAGAACUAGGUGUUGCGCGUAUCGACCCGCGCGGUGCCGUAGCCAACGCGUUAAGUUCUCCGCCUGGGGAGUACGCACGCAAGUGUG